AGAGUUUGAUCAUGGCUCAGAUUGAACGCUGGCGGCAGGCCUAACACAUGCAAGUCGAACGGUAACAGGAAGAAGCUUGCUUCUUUGCUGACGAGUGGCGGACGGGUGAGUAAUGUCUGGGAAACUGCCUGAUGGAGGGGGAUAACUACUGGAAACGGUAGCUAAUACCGCAUAACGUCGCAAGACCAAAGAGGGGUACCUUCGGGCCUCUUGCCAUCGGAUGUGCCCCGAUGGGACUAGCUAGUAGGUGGGGUAACGGCUCACCUAGGCGACGAUCCCUAGCUGGUCUGAGAGGAUGACCAGCCACACUGGAACUGAGACACGGUCCAGACUCCUACGGGAGGCAGCAGUGGGGAAUAUUGCACAAUGGGCGCAAGCCUGAUGCAGCCAUGCCGCGUGUAUGAAGAAGGCCUUCGGGUUGUAAAGUACUUUCAGCGGGGAGGAAGGGAGUAAAGUUAAUACCUUUGCUCAUUGACGUUACCCGCAGAAGAAGCACCGGCUAACUCCGUGCCAGCAGCCGCGGUAAUACGGAGGGUGCAAGCGUUAAUCGGAAUUACUGGGCGUAAAGCGCACGCAGGCGGUUUGUUAAGUCAGAUGUGAAAUCCCCGGGCUCAACCUGGGAACUGCAUCUGAUACUGGCAAGCUUGAGUCUCGUAGAGGGGGGUAGAAUUCCAGGUGUAGCGGUGAAAUGCGUAGAGAUCUGGAGGAAUACCGGUGGCGAAGGCGGCCCCCUGGACGAAGACUGACGCUCAGGUGCGAAAGCGUGGGGAGCAAACAGGAUUAGAUACCCUGGUAGUCCACGCCGUAAACGAUGUCGACUUGGAGGUUGUGCCCUUGAGGCGUGGCUUCCGGAGCUAACGCGUUAAGUCGACCGCCUGGGGAGUACGGCCGCAAGGUUAAAACUCAAAUGAAUUGACGGGGGCCCGCACAAGCGGUGGAGCAUGUGGUUUAAUUCGAUGCAACGCGAAGAACCUUACCUGGUCUUGACAUCCACGGAAGUUUUCAGAGAUGAGAAUGUGCCUUCGGGAACCGUGAGACAGGUGCUGCAUGGCUGUCGUCAGCUCGUGUUGUGAAAUGUUGGGUUAAGUCCCGCAACGAGCGCAACCCUUAUCCUUUGUUGCCAGCGGUCCGGCCGGGAACUCAAAGGAGACUGCCAGUGAUAAACUGGAGGAAGGUGGGGAUGACACCAAGUCAUCAUGCCCC
rnacentral:rRNA from 1 species